rnacentral:rRNA from 1 species
AGAGUUUGAUCCUGGCUCAGGAUGAACGCUGGCGGCGUGGAUAAGGCAUGCAAGUCGAAUGGGUUUAGACCCAUGGCAAACGGGUUCAGAUAACAUAGGAAUUUACCCUUGAGUCGUGAAUAAUCUGGAGAAAUCCAGGAUAAUACACGAUACCCUCUACGGAGGAAUGGUUUACCGCUCGAGGAGAAGCCUGUGUCCUAUCAGCUUGUUGGUGAGGUAAAGGCUCACCAAGGCUAUGACGGGUAGGGGGUGUGAGAGCACGGCCCCCAACAUUGGAACUGAGACACUGUCCAAACACCUACGGGUGGCUGCAGUCGAGAAUAUUCCACAAUGGACGAAAGUCUGAUGGAGCGACGCCGCGUGCAGGAUGAAGGCCUUCGGGUUGUAAACUGCUUUUCUAUGGGAAGAAUUUCGAUGACGGUACCAUAGGAAUAAGAGGUUACUAACUCUGUGCCAGCAGUAGCGGUAAUACAGAGACCUCAAGCGUUAUCCGGAUUAAUUGGGCGUAAAGCGUAGGUAGGCGGCUUGGUUAGUCAGAUGUCAAAGCCCGGGGCUCAACCCCGGAAAGGCAUUUGAAACGGCCAAGCUAGAGAGUGUGAGAGAUCAGUGGAAUUCAUGGUGUAGUAGUGAAAUGCGUUGAUAUCAUGAGGAACAUCCAAGGCGAAGGCAACUGAUUGGCGCACUUCUGACGCUCAGCUACGAAAGCGUGGGUAGCGAAUGGGAUUAGAUACCCCAGUAGUCCACGCCCUAAACGAUGCAUAUUAGGUGUGGGGAGAAUCGACCCUCUCCGUGCCGUAGCUAACGCGUUAAAUAUGCCGCCUGGGAAGUACGAGCGCAAGCUUAAAACUCAAAGGAAUAGACGGGGAUCCGCACAAGUGGUGGAGCAUGUGGUUUAAUUCGACGGUAAGCGAGGCACCUCACCAGGGUUUGAAAUCUAGCUGGAGAUCUCAGAAAUGAGAAGUCCUUCGAGGCCGCUAGACCAGGUGCUGCAUGGUUGUCGUCAGCUCGUGUCGUAAGAUGUUCCGUUCAGUCGGGAAACGAGCGCAACCCUCAUGAAGUGUUAUACAUGUCACUUCAGACUGCCCAGCCCUUUGCGCGUGACGCGCAGAAUGAUGAAUAUUGAAUUUAGAAUUUUGAAUCAAUUC